rnacentral:rRNA from 1 species
AUGAUUUUAUUUAGUGAUGAUUCCACUAUUUCGGAAGAGGUUCCAAUUGAUUAUGUGAACAAAGUUGCUAUCUAUGAUGAUUAUUAUGAUGACAUGUAUGCUAUGAAGAAUAAUGAUAACCAUGAAACUUGUCAUCUUGAUUUUAAUUUUCAAUUGGAUUGUGCCUCACAUGAUAGUUAUUUUGUUGAGUUUGCUCGCACUAUAAUCCAUGACAAUAAAUUUGCUUGUGUGGAGAGUAAUAAAAUUUCUAUCCUUAUGCAUCAUGAAAAUAAUUCUUUAUGUGAUAGCUAUAUUUUUGAAUUCAUUCAUGAUGCUACUGAAAAUUAUUAUGAGAGAGGAACAUAUGCUUUUACAUAUUGCAAUAAUAUCAAGUUUUCUCUCUACAUGUUGAAAAUCUUGAAGUUAUGCUUGCUUUACCUUCCUAGGCAAGUUGAUUCCUGUUCCCACAAGUUGUUUGAUCACAAAAUACCUAUGAAUAGGAAGUGGGUUAGACUUAAAUGUGCUAGUAAUAUUAUUCAUGAUGCUCUCUUUAUGUUUCAAUUCUUAUCUUUUAUGUGA